rnacentral:tRNA from 1 species
GAAAGCUCAGUUGGUUAGAGCAUGGUGUUGAUAGCAUCAAGGUCACAGGUUCGAUCCCUUUAUGGGACA